GAGGGUAUAGCUCAGUAGUAGAGUGCAUGCCUAGCACGUGCAAGGUUCUGGGUUUAAUCCCCAGUACCUUCA
rnacentral:tRNA from 1 species